rnacentral:rRNA from 1 species
CGCGGCCUAUCAGCUUGUUGGUGAGGUAACGGCUCACCAAGGCGACGACGGGUAGCUGGUCUGAGAGGACGAUCAGCCACACUGGGACUGAGACACGGCCCAGACUCCUACGGGAGGCAGCAGCAGGGAAUUUUGCACAAUGGGCGCAAGCCUGAUGCAGCGACGCCGCGUGGGGGAUGAAUGCCUUCGGGUUGUAAACCCCUUUCAGGAGGGACGAAGCGAAAGUGACGGUACCUCCAGAAGAAGCCCCGGCCAACUACGUGCCAGCAGCCGCGGUAAUACGUAGGGGGCGAGCGUUGUCCGGAUUUAUUGGGCGUAAAGAGCUCGUAGGCGGCUCAACAAGUCGGCCGUGAAAGCCUGAGGCUCAACCUCAGGACGCCGGUCGAAACUGUUGUGGCUAGGGUUCGGUAGAGGAGAGUGGAAUUCCCGGUGUAGCGGUGAAAUGCGCAGAUAUCGGGAGGAACACCAGUAGCGAAGGCGGCUCUCUGGGCCGACACCGACGCUGAGGAGCGAAAGCUAGGGGGGCAAACAGGAUUAGAUACCCUGGUAGUCCUAGCCGUAAACGUUGGGCACUAGGUGUGGCGGAUUCAUUGACAUCUGCCGUGCCGUAGCUAACGCAUUAAGUGCCCCGCCUGGGGAGUACGG